GGAGCUGAAAUCAGUCGAAGAUACCAGCUGGCUGCAACUGUUUAUUAAAAACACAGCACUGUGCAAACACGAAAGUGGACGUAUACGGUGUGACGCCUGCCCGGUGCCGGAAGGUUAAUUGAUGGGGUUAUCCUCGCGGAGAAGCUCUUGAUCGAAGCCCCGGUAAACGGCGGCCGUAACUAUAACGGUCCUAAGGUAGCGAAAUUCCUUGUCGGGUAAGUUCCGACCUGCACGAAUGGCGUAAUGAUGGCCAGGCUGUCUCCACCCGAGACUCAGUGAAAUUGAACUCGCUGUGAAGAUGCAGUGUACCCGCGGCAAGACGGAAAGACCCCGUGAACCUUUACUAUAGCUUGACACUGAACACUGGUCCUUGAUGUGUAGGAUAGGUGGGAGGCUUUGAAGUGUGGACGCCAGUCUGCAUGGAGCCAUCCUUGAAAUACCACCCUUUAAUGGCUGGUGUUCUAACGUGGGCCCGUGAUCCGGGUUGCGGACAGUGUCUGGUGGGUAGUUUGACUGGGGCGGUCUCCUCCUAAAGAGUAACGGAGGAGCACGAAGGUCAGCUAAUCCUGGUCGGACAUCAGGAGGUUAGUGCAAUGGCAUAAGCUGGCUUGACUGCGAGCGUGACGGCGCGAGCAGGUGCGAAAGCAGGUCAUAGUGAUCCGGUGGUUCUGAAUGGAAGGGCCAUCGCUCAACGGAUAAAAGGUACUCCGGGGAUAACAGGCUGAUACCGCCCAAGAGUUCAUAUCGACGGCGGUGUUUGGCACCUCGAUGUCGGCUCAUCACAUCCUGGGGCUGAAGUAGGUCCCAAGGGUAUGGCUGUUCGCCAUUUAAAGUGGUACGCGAGCUGGGUUUAGAACGUCGUGAGACAGUUCGGUCCCUAUCUGCCGUGGGCGCUGGAGAAUUGAGGGGGGCUGCUCCUAGUACGAGAGGACCGGAGUGGACGCAUCACUGGUGUUCGGGUUGUCAUGCCAAUGGCAUUGCCCGGUAGCUAAAUGCGGAAGAGAUAAGUGCUGAAAGCAUCUAAGCACGAAACUUGCCCCGAGAUGAGUUCUCCCUGACUCCUUGAGAGUCCUGAAGGAACGUUGAAGACGACGACGUUGAUAGGCCGGGUGUGUAAGCGCAGCGAUGCGUUGAGCUAACCGGUACUAAUGAACCGUGAGGCUUAACCUU
rnacentral:rRNA from 1 species